rnacentral:rRNA from 1 species
UGGUGGGAGUGGCCUACCAAGGCAACGAUCAGUAGCCGGCCUGAGAGGGUGAACGGCCACAUUGGGACUGAGACACGGCCCAAACUCCUACGGGAGGCAGCAG